rnacentral:rRNA from 1 species
ACCUACGGGGCGCAGCAGUAGGGAAUCUUCGUCAAUGGGCGCAAGCCUGAACGAGCAAUGCCGCGUGAACGAGGAAGGUCUUCGGAUCGUAAAGUUCUGUUGAAGGGGAAAAAGAGCGGAGAGAGGAAAUGGUCUCCGAUUGAUAUUACCCUUCGAGGAAGUCACGGCUAAUUACGUGCCAGCAGCCGCGGUAAUACGUAGGUGGCGAGCGUUAUCCGGAAUGAUUGGGCGUAAAGGGUGCGUAGGCGGCCUGCUAAGUCUGGAGUGAAAGGUACCGGCUCAACCGGUACAGGCUCUGGAAACUG